rnacentral:rRNA from 1 species
UACGAAGGGGGCUAGCGUCUCUCGGAAUCACUGGGCGUAAAGGGUGCGUAGGCGGGUCUUUUAAGUCAGGGGUGAAAUCCUGGAGCUCAACUCCAGAACUGCCUUUGAUACUGAGGAUCUUGAGUUCGGGAGAGGUGAGUGGAACUGCGAGUGUAGAGGUGAAAUUCGUAGAUAUUCGCAAGAACACCAGUGGCGAAGGCGGCUCACUGGCCCGAUACUGACGCUGAGGCACGAAAGCGUGGGGGAGCAAACAGG